rnacentral:lncRNA from 10 species
AAACUCAGCGGCCUCAUCUGCAGCGGGUUGGGCUGGGAGCCCAUCACGGAUGGGUUUACAAACCAGAAAUGUUAGACUACAAACAACAAUUUCACAUCUGUAAACCACUUCAUCUGAUGACAAACAUGGCCUCAGGCUCAAAUGUUUACAGCAAAUUGGGGCAAAAAUACUGUCUGGAGUUAAAUUCUCAGUAGCAAAUUGUACAAGCCGGAGAGCAGGGCAGCGCCUCCAGAGAGGAAAGAAGAGAGGGUGAGCCUCUCAUGCCUCCCCUACACUGGUCCCUUUGCCCAGAAUGACUGCACGUUUUUCAUCACUUGCUUCCAACAAGUGGAGUUAGGACUGUUAUCAAACCCAGAGACACAAGCAAAGGGCAGCUUUGACAAGCCGGUCCCUCCCGCACCCGCCCCUGCGUGGGAAAUGCCAAAGUCCUCUGCUCAGGGCGGGGCUGGGGUGCGCCCCGGAGUGCUCUGGGGCACCUGGAGGAGGUUUCUUUGUGUGAAGUCUCUGUCACUGUGUGUGGGUGUGUGUGUGUAUGUGUUUUGUGCAUGUGUUGUGUGUGUAUGUGUUGUGUGUGUUGUGUGUAUGUGUGUCUUGUGUGUGUUUGUGUGUUGUGUGUGUCUAGGCCAGGGAAACAGUGAGUCGUUUCUGCCCAGGAGCAGCUGCAUGUGAGGCCCGUUCUUGGUCUUAUAUGCGGCUUCUGAGGACUUUCCAGAAAUCGUGAGGGAGACUGGCUGCUGGCUGUCCUCUUACUGCUGGGCCUGUCCCUUCCAAUCAGCGCCCGGGGCUCUGUAAGU